AGCUUUGCGCAGUGGCAGUAUCGUAGCCAAUGAGGUUUAUCCAAGGUGCGAUUAUUGCUAAUUGAAAACUUUUCCCAAUGCCCCGCCGUGACGACUUGCAAUAAUAAAUUUGUGUGCUUAUCCAAUUUCUAAUA
rnacentral:snRNA from 1 species